rnacentral:rRNA from 1 species
CCUACGGGCGGCAGCAGUGAGGAAUAUUGGUCAAUGGGCGUAAGCCUGAACCAGCCAAGUCGCGUGAGGGAUGAAGGUUCUAUGGAUCGUAAACCUCUUUUAUAAGGGAAUAAAGUGUGGGACGUGUCCUAUUUUGUAUGUACCUUAUGAAUAAGGAUCGGCUACCUCCGUGCCAGCAGCCGUGGUAAUACGGAGGAGCCGAGCGUUAUCCGGAUUUAUUGGGUUUAAAGGGUGCGUAGGCGGCCUUUUAAGUCAGCGGUGAAAGUCUGUGGCUCAACCAUAGAAUUGCCGUUGAAACUGGGGGGCUUGAGGAUGUUUGAGGAAGGCGGAAUGCGUGGUGUAGCGGUGAAAUGCUUAGAUAUCACGCAGAACCCCGAUUGCGAAGGCAGCCUGCCAAGCCAUGACUGACGCUGAUGCACGAAAGCGUGGGGAUCAAACAGGAUUAGAUACCCCUGUAGUC